AUUUAUUAAUAUAAGAAAGCAAAUCCGCUGAACUUAAGCAUAUUAUUAAGCGGAAGAAAAGAAAAUAACAAUGAUUCUUUUAGUAACGGCGAGUGAACAAAGAAAAGCUCAACAUGGAAAAUCCGACAGAUAGCUACCCGCGAUUUGUCGGAAUUGUCAAGUUGAAAAACAUUCCAAGAGUUCUUUUUUAUAAUAUGACAAUGAGAAGAAGUAGAUAGAAAUGUCUCUCCUUAGAGGGUGAAAGACCCGUAUUCUUAAUCAUAAAACUGAUCAAUUGGAAUGUUUUGUUUUUGAGUCGUGUUCUUUGAGACUGGAGCACUAAUUAGUGUGAUACAUUUCACAUAAAGCUAAAUAUUUGUAAGAAACCGAUAGUAAACAAGUACCGUGAGGGAAAGAUGAAAUAGUACUCAGGAAUGAGCAAUUAAAUAGUACCUGAAAUCGUUAAGAUGGAACGGAUUAAAAAAGGAAAAAAGUAACAACAUAGUUAAAAUGAGAGAUUUUGGUGCGCGCAAUAAAGAAUGGAGUCCUUAAAAAAGGAUGUAGAUAUUCAAGUAUCAAAACAAAAUUUUUCUUUUUUUAAAAAGAAAUUUUUUGAAGCUUUUGUUAUAAUAUUCAUUUUUAUUCUUAUCCUUUUUUUUAGGUAAGAUAAAAAUGAUACAAAAGUUGUCUUUCAUACUAUAUAUAUAUAUAUAUAUAUAAAUAUUAUGUUCUUAUUAAAAGAAACAUGAGUGAAUGAAAAUAAAUAAUCGUGGAGCAAAAAUAAACACAAUAACAAGAAAAAAAAAUAAAAAAAAUAAAAUAAAAUAAUUAAAAUAAAAAUAAAACAAAAAGAAACAAAAAAAAGCAAAAUAUAAAAUAAAAGAAUUAAUUGAAUUUAAUUUCAUUUUAUUUUUUUCCUUUUAUAUUUUGCUUUUUUAUUUUGUUUUAUUUUUAUUUUAAUUAUUAUUAUUUUUUUUUUUUUUUUUUUCCCUUAUUGACUAUUUUUCUAAGCUAAUGUGGAAAAAUAUAACUUGCUUCUUUUUUUUUUUUUCUUUUCUGAAGGGAGAAAAAAAAGAAAAAUAUGAAAGAUACAUUUAUUUAAUUUACUGAGGAUUGUGAAAAUUAUAUUAAUUGUAUAUGAUGCGAAAUAAUAUAAUUUAAGAUGUUUUUAUAAAGUACUUUUUUAACCCACUCGUCUUGAAACACGGACCAAGGAGUCUAACAAAUGUGCAAGUGUAUAUGAUAAGAAUAAACAUAGUAUAAAAAUUUCUACGCAUAAUUAAUGUAACAAAAAUAUAUGUUUAUUAAUUGUAGAUUUUGUGGGGUUUUAAAUUUUUUUUAUAAAUCCACACAAAUGCAUACAAUACCGGUGAGCAAUUAUGCUUUAUUGAGUAAGAGCAUACUUGUUAGGACCCGAGAGGCUUUGAACUAAACGUGAUGAGAUUGAAGUCAGAGUAAAAUCUGAUGGAGGAUCGAGUUGAUACUGACGUGCAAAUCGUUCAUUUCAAUUGCGUUUAGGGGCGAAAGACUAAUCGAAAAGCCUAUUAGCUGGUUAUUUUCGAAAGAUCUCUCAGGAUCGCUGGAGUUGAUUAUAAUAUAGUUUUACCUGGUAGAAAUAAUGAUUAGAGGAUUCAAGGAGAUGAUAAUUCCUUGACCUAUAUAUAUCGAAAGAUUCAAUAGGUAAAAAAAUGAGGAAAUAACUUUAUUGUAUUUUCAUUCAUAUUUAAAAAUAAGAUAACUCCAAGUUGGCCAUUUUUGGUAAGCAGAACUGGCGAUGAGGGAUGCUCCUAACGCUUGGAUAAGGUGCCUAAAUAUCCGCUCAUUAGAUACCAUUAAAAAGGUGUUGGUUUGUGAUUACAGUAGGACGGUAUUCAUAGAAGUUGAAAUCCGCUAGGAAGUGUGUAACAACUUACCUACCUAAUAAACUCGCCCUGAAAAUGGAUGGCGCUAAAGCGGAUUACCGAUACCAAGCCAUAAAAAAGAAAAAAAAAAAAAAUUCAAUAUUUUUUUUAUUUUUUUAGAUUCUUUUUAUGAGUAGAAAAUCGUGGGGUUUUGUGUUGAAGCGAAAUACGUGAGUUUUCGUGGAACAUCUCCCUAGUGCAGAUCUUGGUGGAAGUAGCAAAUAUUCUUAUGAGAACUUUGAAGACUGAAGUGGAGAAGGGUUUUUUGUAAACUAUGUUUGAGCAAAAGUUAGCCGUUCCUAAGAGAUAGCUGAAAAGCGUUAUAAAUUGAGGUUACCUAUUAUAUGAAAAGUAUAGUAGUGUUUUUUCUCUUCUCGAAAGGGAAGCAGGUUGAUAUUCCUGCGCCAUAUGUAAUAAGAACUAAUAAAUAGAGAUGGUAACAUAUAUAUAAAUAAAUGAACUCCUUAACAUAGGCCUUACGCUUGGAGUGCGUUAUCUUUGCACUUUAACUUUAUAUCAAACCUUCGAAAUCGAUUUACUUGUAGAAAAGGUUCGAUGAAUUUACAAUAAGCAAUUUAUUUAUUAUAUGCGUGGACCGGUACACAUGAUAUAUAUAUUAAUGAAUUGUUUUGUAGUAAUAGUAAUUCGUUUGUUGUACGAAUUAUCCAAAGUUGUAUGGACUAUCCAUGAAAAAAGGAGGGAACACUAAAUUAAAUGGGAAUGUAUAAAAUACUAUAAAAGUAUGAAAGAAGAAAAAGUAAAGAAAGGAAAGAAAAAAAAAUAUUAACCUUCAGCUUUUUUUUCUAUUUUUUUUUUCUUUUUUUGCUUUCAUAUAUUUUUAUAGUGUUUUUACAUUAACCAUUUUUUUUUUUAUAUUCUUAAAUUACAAUUAUAAAAAUGAACGUACCAAUAACCGCAUCAGGUCUCCAAGGUUAGUAGCCUCUGGUUAAAUAGAAAAACGUAGGUAAGGGAAGUAAGCAAAUUAGAUCCGUAACUUCGGGAAAAGGAUUGGCUCUGAUAACACAAAAUGAGAAGAAAAAAAUGAAAAGAAAAAAAUGAAAAGAAUUGUGGUUGAAAAUAAAAAUGUUAAGAUGUUUAUUUAUAUAUUUAUAUUAGUUUUUCUUAUAUUUUAAGAUUAAUUAAUUAAUUAUAUAUUUAAUAUGUUAAAAUGUUUUAUAUUUCUUCUUCUACUCUAUUCUAUUCCAUUCUAUUCUAUUCUAUUUUUUUUUUUCUCUUUCUCUUCGAUAUUACAUAUAUUUUGUUAUUAUAAUAAAAAUUAUGUAAUAUUGUUUAGCUGUGUGUUUAUUCAGAACUGAAACGGACAAGGGGAAUCCGACUGUUUAAUAAAAACAUAGCAUUGUGAAAAGCUAUAACUGGUAUUAACACAAUGUGAUUUCUGCCCAGUGCUUUGAAUGUCAAGUUGAUGAAAAUUUCAAUUAAGCGCAGGUAAACGGCGGGAGUAACUAUUAUGACUCUCUUAAGGUAGCCAAAAAUGUAUGGUCGAUAAAAAGGACCAUCAGGAAUGGAUUAACGAGAUUCCUACUGUCCCUACUUGCGAUCUAGCGAAACCACAACCAAGGGAAAGGGCUUGGUAAAAUCAGCAGGGAAAGAAGACCCUGUUGUGCUUUACUCUAGUCUGACUUUGUAAAAAGAUUUAAGAGGUAUAGUAUAAGUGGUAGUAGAAAUUGAAAUAAUGUUUUUACGUCAGUGAAAUACCACUACUUUUAAAAAGUUUUUACUAAUCCAUUUAUCUAGUGAAUGACUAUUAUAUAAAUAUAUAUAUAUAUAUAUAUAUUUUCUAUAUUUUAUGUGUAUCACUUUUUAUGGAGACAGAGUCAGGUGGGGAGUUUGACUAAGGUGGUACAUCUGUUAAAAAAUAACGCAGAUGUCCAAAGAUAAGCUCAAGGAGAACAGAAAUCUCUUGUAGACUAAAAGGGGAAAAGCUUGUUUGAUUUCUAUUUUCAGAAAGAAUAGAAAACGUGAAAACGUGGCCUAUCGAUCCUUUAUAUUUGCAAAAUGACGUAAAAUUAUUUACUACUGUGCAUAUAAAGGUGUCUGAAAAGUUACCACAGGGAUAACUUGUUUGUGGCUGCUUAGCGAUAUUAGCAACGUGGCUUUUUGUAUUUUCGAUUACGGCUCUUCCUAUCAUUGGGACGCAGAAGUCUCAAAGUGUCGGAUUGUUCACCCGCUAAUAGGGAACGUGAGCUGGGUUUAGACCGUCGUGAGACAGGUUAGUUUUACCCUACUGAUGAAUAUUAUUAUAUUAUUAUAUAUAUAUAUAGUAUUGUGACAGUAAUCCAACUUGGUACGAGAGGAUUAGUUGGUUCAGACAAUUGGUACAGCAAUUGGGUUGAUAAACCAGUGUUGCGAAGCUACGUCUGUUGGAUAAUGACUGAACGAUUCUAAAGUCAGAACCCAUACUGAUUAAACAAUAAUAUAAUUGUAUAUUUUUGUUAUAAGGUUGUGUUUUAUUUUUUUUUAUUGCUAAUGUAAAAGAGAAAUUUAAUAUAUGCGUUAAUCUAUAUAUAUUAUGUAUAGAUUUUCAUAAACAUAUAAAUAAUCCCAUAAAGACGUAUCUUUUUUUUUUCUAAACAAAGAAAAAUAUGUUCUUUUUAUUGUAAUUUAACAACAAAAAUAAUCUAAAGUAUAUUGUAGACGACAUUUUUAGCCUCAGAGUGCUGUAAACAUGUGAGCAAACUUGUUUUGCGAACUGUUCAGGCUUAUCUCUUGUGGUUUUUGCUUUU
rfam:Plasmodium falciparum IGH-CR14 genomic scaffold supercont1.234, whole genome shotgun sequence.